AAAAUAUUGAGCCUAGUGCAUCCAUACACAUCUUAAAGGAUUCGAUAUAUCUUGAUAGAAGCUUAUGAUAACUAAUUACGGAUCUGUUCCUUGAAAAGUUAUGCAUAGGUCAGAUCUUUUUAUGUACUUGGGACUUUUAGGCUACUCUACCUUCUGAAAGGGAGGGAGAGAGAUCUAUGACGGGAAGAAAGAUGUCGCUAGU
rnacentral:misc_RNA from 1 species